rnacentral:rRNA from 1 species
CCUACGGGUGGCAGCAGUGAGGAAUAUUGGUCAAUGGGCUUACGCCUGAACCAGCCAAGUCGCGUGAGGGAAGACUGCCCUAUGGGUUGUAAACUUCUUUCGUCAGGGAGCAAUUGGCGCUACGUGUAGCGUUAUCGAGAGUACCUGAAGACAAAGCAUCGGCUAACUCCGUGCCAGCAGCCGCGGUAAUAGGGGGGAUGCGAGCGUUAUCCGGAUUUAUUGGGGUUAAAGGGUGCGUAGGCGGAAUGCCAAGUCCGCGGUAAAAUCGCGGGGCUAAACCUCGCUCCGCCGUUGAAACUGGCGGACUUGAGUGGACGAGAGGUAAGCGGAAGGCGUGGUGUAGCGGUGAAAUGCGUAGAUAUCACGAGGAACACCGGUGGCGAAGGCAGCAUACUGGCGCGCAACUGACGCUGAAGCACGAAAGCGUGGGGAUCGAACAGGAUUAGAUACCCGGGUAGUC